UUGAACGCUGGCGGCAUGCCUUACCCAUGCAAGUCGCACGGCAGCACGGGUGCUUGCACCUGGUGGCGAGUGGCGAACGGGUGAGUAAUACAUCGGAACAUGUCCUGUAGUGGGGGAUAGCCCGGCGAAAGCCGGAUUAAUACCGCAUACGAUCCACGGAUGAAAGCGGGGGACCUUCGGGCCUCGCGCUAUAGGGUUGGCCGAUGGCUGAUUAGCUAGUUGGUGGGGUAAAGGCCUACCAAGGCGACGAUCAGUAGCUGGUCUGAGAGGACGACCAGCCACACUGGGACUGAGACACGGCCCAGACUCCUACGGGAGGCAGCAGUGGGGAAUUUUGGACAAUGGGCGAAAGCCUGAUCCAGCAAUGCCGCGUGUGUGAAGAAGGCCUUCGGGUUGUAAAGCACUUUUGUCCGGAAAGAAAUCCUUGACUCUAAUACAGUCGGGGGAUGACGGUACCGGAAGAAUAAGCACCGGCUAACUACGUG
rnacentral:rRNA from 1 species